rnacentral:tRNA from 1 species
CAGGGAAUAGUUUAAGUAGAACUUCAGCUUUGGGUGUUGAUAGUGGGGGCAAACUCUCUUCCUUGA